rnacentral:lncRNA from 1 species
UUGCAAAUGUUCACGCCUCAGCUAAGAGAUGGCGCGAUGUAUCAGAGGUGAGAAAAUCGAUGAGAGAUAAGAAUGUGAAGAAAGAAGCGGGAAUCAGCUGGUUUGAACACAAAGGUGAAGUUCAUCAGUUUAAGAUGGGAGAUCGCUCUCAGUCUAAAUCUAAAGAGAUCUAUUCAUACCUGAAAGAACUGACUCUGGAGAUGAAGCUGAAGGGAUACAAGCCUGAUACAGCGUCAGUAUUGCAUGAUAUGGAUGAGGAGGAGAAAGAAUCAGACUUGGUGCAGCACAGCGAGAAACUAGCGGUUGCAUUUGCGCUCAUGAUAUUACCUGAAGGUGCACCGAUUAGAAUAAUCAAGAACUUGCGGGUUUGCAGUGAUUGCCAUGUUGCUUUCAAAUAUAUAUCGGUGAUCAAGAACCGAGAGAUCAC